ACCUGCCUACCCACCUCACGUAUCUCACCCACCCAGCGACGUGCCUACCUACACACGAUGUGUGCUCCGUGCUCCCGCAGAGAGGCGGCGAGCGGUGGGGGACAGGCCGCUUUACGAGCGCGCGGGGCCGUGUGUGCUGCUGACUGCACGCGCGCAGGUCCCGGGGCUGUUUGGCACGAUCAGGCGACUCAUUCCAGGGCUUUUCCCUUUCAACAGGAUCCUGGGACGGUCCAAGGAUCCCCGCAGAGACGGUCACUGAGGAAGUGGACACUGGGAUCGCUCGCGCCGGCACCAGAGAGAAGAGAUCCAGCACCCGGCUCAAGAAGCCCGAGACGACGCCGACGUCUCAGCGCCGAGUGCAGCGCCACGUCAACUCGGGCAGCCUCGACACCAAGCCCGCCAGCUGAGCGGGGAGCGGGGAGGGGGGGCAGGAGAGACGGGGUAAAGGGGAGGAUGGGCAGGGAGUGCCGUGAACUCACCAACAGCUCACCAACACACCUCACAGACACCUCACACCGCAUAGAUCACCACUCAGCUCACUGAAACCAAUCCCCAAAUGUCUUCACUGUUGGGGUUAAUUUUGCCUGAUCGACUGAGUGACUGAGUGAGUGUGUUGUUGUGAGCUGCAGUGUGGUGAUGGUGGUGGUUGAACACAGUGUGAUGGAUGAGACGAAACAGUCAGUCUGGGUAGGCCAAUUCCCCAACACGGGGUGGUGGACAAACCGAUUAUUGAAGUUCACCGAAUCACGAACCACGACCCAGAGGGAGGAGGCUCCCUCCAUGCACUGGCUUGCCGGCUGGCCUGUCCUACCCUCUCCCUCCGAUUGCCCUGACCCCGAGUCCGACUCAAACCCCCACCAGGUGUGAUGCUGGCAUAUUUUAUUUUUAAAAGCACCGCAUUCUUAUUUUGUUCGUGAUACUUUUCCCCCAUUAUAUAUAUAUGAUACUUAUAAACAAUACCAUUUAUACAUACAUAUACUUUGUAUACGUACAUUUACACAGUGUGUCCUCGAUAUACUGGGCUAAUAUAUGGGUGUCAGUGGUGUACCCCAGUAUUCCAAUUCCCUAGCAAAACCCCCUGAUUUCCAUGAAGACAACAUUUACAUGCUGUCUGCAGCUGAGUCACGCUAAAAAUGUGUUCACGUAAAUACGUGUCUGGUAGAAGAGGUGGGGUCUAAACAGGAAGGAGUGGGGCCUACAGAGCUUGAACUUCCCCCUUUAUUUAAGGUAAUCGAAGCACAGAAUCAAACACGCGCAGCAGCCGGCCAGAGUUUGAGUGCCGUAGAUGCGGUCCCAGGUCAGCGAGUUCAUAUGUCACAAUACAGAGUGGGGGACGCAGGUUCACAACAACGCCACCACAAAACCCGCCAAGACAAUUCUGGAACGCGCUUGGCAAUGCCGCAGUGUUUGGUGAACCAAAGUUGAUCUCCCCAGCCGCAUGAGCCUUGAGUCCUCGAGACUCACCUCCCGUUCGUUCAACAGCCCUGCAGGUGGUGGGGGAGAUUCCACAGUCCUACAGGGCGAGUGGGGGGGGGCUGUCCACAGGACGCAGCCUUGGGUUGCGGCGUCCGUGCGGCGUUAGGACGCAGGGACGAUGGGAGGACCACGGCAGCGUUACUCUGCACGAUGGGCCGUUCCGGUUUUGAACUUUAUAUAUAUAUAUCUUACGUAUCUAAACAUGUAUAAAUAUAUUCACAUACAUAUUUAAAUUAUGCUAAUUGUGCGAAUAUAUUUAGAUAUGUAAAUAUAUAUUUAAGAUAAUAUAAAUAACACAAUGAGCAGACAAUGUGUUUCCUUUACAUCUCCGUGUCCCUACGUAAGCAAUCCAAGUGCGUUCUACUCAUCCCAGCAGCCGCACGGCCUCCUGUUUGUGAGUGCACCAUUUCAGCAGCGUGGAUUCAGGACGAGCAAAAACUCUGGGCUGGUUUCGACAUUCGGCUUCUCAUCAGCAGAGUUAGGCUUGCUCGAAUCCCUGUUGGUGGACUGCAGAAGUUCCAGGCCCUCUCUGUACGACAUGGGGGUCCUAGUUUUCCAGCGAUGGUUCAAGCGAGCCUGACUCUGCUUAAGAGACACUGACUGUUUAAAACUGGUCCAGAGUUGUUUUGUGUUGAAUCAAUGCUCCUGAAACGAUGCUCUCCCACGAGGAGGAUGUGCAUCCAGCUGAUGAGAUGUGUAGAACAACAUGUUAUUGUUUACGUGAUGAGAUGUGGAAAAACAUCGCGUAUCUAAUUAAUAUGUUCAUCACAAUAAACCCACCUCGAUGCGGGGCACGGUGUAUUCACCCACGGUAUUUCGAGGACAUACGGUAGUAGAUCGAUUGUUAUCAGAUUUAAAUUAAAAUAAUUUGUAUGAUCUAAAUUACGAUGAUGUUUUUGAUUUGUGUUAAGGUUGUGUUUGUACCAUUUGCUGUGUAUGGAGCUCUAGCUUAGACCGUGAGGAACGUAGCGAAUCGUGUCUGUAACACGGCUCGGGAAAAGGCAAUUCAUUGACGAGAGUCUGUACUCACAGCAGCGAUGUAGAA